rnacentral:rRNA from 1 species
GUCUAAGUAUAAGCAACUAUACGGUGAAACUGCGAAUGGCUCAUUAAAUCAGUUAUCGUUUAUUUGAUAGUACCUUACUACAUGGAUAACCGUGGUAAUUCUAGAGCUAAUACAUGCUAAAAACCUCGACUUCGGAAGGGGUGUAUUUAUUAGAUAAAAAACCAAUGCCCUUCGGGGCUCCUUGGUGAAUCAUAAUAACUUAACGAAUCGCAUGGCCUUGCGCCGGCGAUGGUUCAUUCAAAUUUCUGCCCUAUCAACUUUCGAUGGUAGGAUAGUGGCCUACCAUGGUAUCAACGGGUAACGGGGAAUUAGGGUUCGACUCCGGAGAGGGAGCCUGAGAAACGGCUACCACAUCCAAGGAAGGCAGCAGGCGCGCAAAUUACCCAAUCCCGACACGGGGAGGUAGUGACAAUAAAUACUGAUACAGGGCUCUUUUGGGUCUUGUAAUUGGAAUGAGUACAAUUUAAAUCCCUUAACGAGGAACAAUUGGAGGGCAAGUCUGGUGCCAGCAGCCGCGGUAAUUCCAGCUCCAAUAGCGUAUAUUAAAGUUGUUGCAGUUAAAAAGCUCGUAGUUGAACCUUGGGCCUGGCUGGCCGGUCCGCCUCACCGCGUGUACUGGUCCGGCCGGGCCUUUCCUUCUGGGGAACCUCAUGCCCUUCACUGGGCGUGCUGGGGAACCAGGACUUUUACUUUGAAAAAAUUAGAGUGUUCAAAGCAGGCCUUUGCUCGAAUACAUUAGCAUGGAAUAAUAGAAUAGGACGUGUGGUUCUAUUUUGUUGGUUUCUAGGACCGCCGUAAUGAUUAAUAGGGAUAGUCGGGGGCAUCAGUAUUCAAGCGUCAGAGGUGAAAUUCUUGGAUUGCUUGAAGACUAACUACUGCGAAAGCAUUUGCCAAGGAUGUUUUCAUUAAUCAGUGAACGAAAGUUAGGGGAUCGAAGACGAUCAAGAUACCGUCGUAGUCUUAACCAUAAACUAUGCCGACUAGGGAUCGGGCGGUGUUAGUAUUUUGACCCGCUCGGCACCUUACGAGAAAUCAAAGUUUUUGGGUUCUGGGGGGAGUAUGGUCGCAAG